ensembl:lncRNA
AUGGCCGCCAGCUUCUCCUUCAGGAUGCGCUCAGCCUCGGCCCGUUGCCGGCUGGCCUCCUCCUCCGCCAGCUGCCGCUGCCGCUUGGCCUCCUCGGAGAGGGCGCGCAGGCGGGCAGCCUCCUCGGCCAGCUCCCGCAGCUUGUUGGCCUCCGCCUCCAGCCGCUGCUUGGACUUCUCGCUGCUGGAGCGUGACUCCUCCUCUGUCUUGGCCUUGCUCUCCAGCAGGACCUCCAUCUCUGCCCGCAGCUUGGCCAGCUCCUCCUCCAGCUCUUUCCUCCUCUGGAUGGCCUCGUUUACCUCGCCCUUCAGCCGCGAGAGCUCUUCCUCCAGGAGCAAGCGCUGCUGCUCCCCAUUCUCCAUCUCCGCCUUCAGCCGGAUCAGCUCCUGCUCUGCCGCCAGCUUCUGCUGGGCUGUGCCCUCUGCCAGCUCCCGCUGCUUUUCCAGCUCCUCCUCCGCCAGCUCCUUCUGCCGUACGGCCACCUCCUCUGCCUUGGCGCGCUUGCGGGCCUCGCGCUCUGCAUCCUCUUUCUGCUUCUCGGCCUCCUCCUGUGCCAGUGACUUCUUGUGGGCCACUUCUUCGGCCUGCAACCGCAGGCGCAGUGCCUCGUUGGCCUUCUGCCGCCAGCGCUCCAGCUCCUUCUCAGCCUCCUCCCGCGAGCGCUCGGCCUCCAGCUGCUGCCUCUUCAGCCGCUCAGCCUCCUCCUGCAGCUGGGCCACCACAUCGUGCUCCUGCUGCAGUGACAGCUCCAGCUGCGCUGUCUUCUCGGCGAAAGAGAGCCUCUUGCUCUGCAGCUCGGCCUCAGCGCUGCGCUGGGCCACCUCCUGGGCCACCUGGAUCUGCCGGUCCUUCUCAGCCUCUGCCUGCCGCAUGCGUCGCUCAGCCUCCUCCGCCUGCAGCCGCAGCUGCUCCAGGUCUGCCACCGCCUUCUGCUUCUCCCGUGCCGCUUCGCGCUCAGCCUGCACCUUGCGCUUCAGCUCCUCCUCCGCCUCCCGCUUCUUCUGGCUCUCCUCCUUCACCUGCCGGCGCAGACGCUCAGCCUCCUCCUGUGCCUGCCGCUUUUGCCGCUCGGCAUCUUCGGCACGUGCCCGCAGCUCCUGCAGCUCUGUCUCUGCGCUCUCCCGCUGCUUCUCGGUGCUCUCCAGCUGCAGGCGGAUGAGGCGGAUCUCCUCCUCCACUUUCUUGCGGUUGUAUUCAGCCUCCUCGAUCAGCUUCACCUUGGACUUGAUCUGGUGGUCCGAGUUCUGCCGCAGCUGCAUCAGCUCCUGCUGGAUGUUCUGCUUCUGCUGCUCGGCAUCCACGGCCACCACCUCCCGCCGGGUGACCUCCUCCUGCAUGCGGAGCUGCAGCUCCCGCGCCUCCGCCUCCGCCUGCGCCUUGGCUUUGGCGUGGGCCUCGGCCAGCUGCCGCUGCUUCUCCAGCUGCGCCUCCACCUCCGCCAGCCGCUUCCUCUCCUCCUCUUUCAGCUUCUCGGCGGCUUUCUGGAGGGGAAAGAGGGUGCAGGGGACAGAAAGGGGAGAGAGAGACAAAUCACAAGGGAUGCGAUCGCGCCGUGGAAUCGAUGCUGGCCCAGCCGCACACUGCCGAGACAGCCGAGGGUGGCAGAUGUGCGUGGAAUGGCUUCGGCCCCUGGGCCACCGCACGAGCCAGUGA